GACGAACGCUGGCGGCGUGCUUAACACAUGCAAGUCGAACGGAAAGGCCCUGCUUUUGUGGGGUGCUCGAGUGGCGAACGGGUGAGUAACACGUGAGUAACCUGCCCUUGACUUUGGGAUAACUUCAGGAAACUGGGGCUAAUACCGGAUAGGAGCUCCUGCUGCGUGGUGGGGGUUGGAAAGUUUCGGCGGUUGGGGAUGGACUCGCGGCUUAUCAGCUUGUUGGUGGGGUAGUGGCUUACCAAGGCUUUGACGGGUAGCCGGCCUGAGAGGGUGACCGGCCACAUUGGGACUGAGAUACGGCCCAGACUCCUACGGGAGGCAGCAGUGGGGAAUAUUGCACAAUGGGCGGAAGCCUGAUGCAGCAACGCCGCGUGCGGGAUGACGGCCUUCGGGUUGUAAACCGCUUUCGCCUGUGACGAAGCGUGAGUGACGGUAAUGGGUAAAGAAGCACCGGCUAACUACGUGCCAGCAGCCGCGGUGAUACGUAGGGUGCGAGCGUUGUCCGGAUUUAUUGGGCGUAAAGGGCUCGUAGGUGGUUGAUCGCGUCGGAAGUGUAAUCUUGGGGCUUAACCCUGAGCGUGCUUUCGAUACGGGUUGACUUGAGGAAGGUAGGGGAGAAUGGAAUUCCUGGUGGAGCGGUGGAAUGCGCAGAUAUCAGGAGGAACACCAGUGGCGAAGGCGGUUCUCUGGGCCUUUCCUGACGCUGAGGAGCGAAAGCGUGGGGAGCGAACAGGCUUAGAUACCCUGGUAGUCCACGCUGUAAACGGUGGGUACUAGGUGUGGGGUCCAUUCCACGGGUUCCGUGCCGUAGCUAACGCUUUAAGUACCCCGCCUGGGGAGUACGGCCGCAAGGCUAAAACUCAAAGGAAUUGACGGGGCCCCGCACAAGCGGCGGAGCAUGCGGAUUAAUUCGAUGCAACGCGUAGAACCUUACCUGGGUUUGACAUGGAUCGGGAGCGCUCAGAGAUGGGUGUGCCUCUUUUGGGGUCGGUUCACAGGUGGUGCAUGGCUGUCGUCAGCUCGUGUCGUGAGAUGUUGGGUUAAGUCCCGCAACGAGCGCAACCCUUGUUCACUGUUGCCAGCACGUUAUGGUGGGGACUCAGUGGAGACCGCCGGGGUCAACUCGGAGGAAGGUGGGGAUGACGUCAAGUCAUCAUGCCCCUUAUGUCCAGGGCUUCACGCAUGCUACAAUGGCUGGUACAGAGAGUGGCGAGCCUGUGAGGGUGAGCGAAUCUCGGAAAGCCGGUCUCAGUUCGGAUUGGGGUCUGCAACUCGACCUCAUGAAGUCGGAGUCGCUAGUAAUCGCAGAUCAGCAACGCUGCGGUGAAUACGUUCCCGGGGCU
rnacentral:rRNA from 1 species